CUUGUGCUCGAGUGAGAGAGUGGAAGGGGGAGCAGAGGAAGGGUGUGUGUAGACCUAAACAAAGUGAGAAAGAGAGGGUGAGAAGCCAAUUCCUUAGUUUGGAAAUGUGGACAGGUAGUAAGAGCAUGUGAAUGAUCGAGAAAGGGAGAGAUGUGGUCUCAUCAGAGAUGAUGUUUGCAACAUAGCAGAUUGCAGUUGGACCACUGAACUGGUGCACAGUAGUGUGAACAAGCUAACUGUGAGAUUUCAGAGAGAGGGGGAAGAGAGAGAGAGUUACUGACACAGGAACAAAGAGCAGAGGGAGAAAGAGAGAGAGGCAAAGAGAAACGUUAGACAGUGGACUUUCUGUUCCUUUCACUAACAGCUGAGAUGGAGGAGUAAAUGUGGACAGUUGCUACAGGCACAUCAGAGUAUUCAGGGACCAAUAAUACAUAUACAUUACUCUGGUGGGAGAGAAAGGAGACAGCGAGAAACAACACUGGAUAACCCUGGACUGGACUUCUUGUAGGAGGAGCGGUGGAUGAAUACAAGGUGUGUAGCCCGGCUCCUCUGGGUCGUGUCCUUUUGGUGCGUCUGGAGAAACAGAGGUACUGGGUAGAGGAUAACUGG